AUUGAACGCUGGCGGCAUGCCUUACACAUGCAAGUCGAACGGUAACAGGUCUUCGGAUGCUGACGAGUGGCGAACGGGUGAGUAAUACAUCGGAACGUGCCCGAUCGUGGGGGAUAACGAAGCGAAAGCUUUGCUAAUACCGCAUAAGAUCUACGGAUGAAAGCAGGGGACCGCAAGGCCUUGCGCGAACGGAGCGGCCGAUGGCAGAUUAGGUAGUUGGUGGGAUAAAAGCUUACCAAGCCGACGAUCUGUAGCUGGUCUGAGAGGACGACCAGCCACACUGGGACUGAGACACGGCCCAGACUCCUACGGGAGGCAGCAGUGGGGAAUUUUGGACAAUGGGCGAAAGCCUGAUCCAGCCAUGCCGCGUGCAGGAUGAAGGCCUUCGGGUUGUAAACUGCUUUUGUACGGAACGAAAAGACUCUGGUGAAUACCUGGGGUUCAUGACGGUACCGUAAGAAUAAGCACCGGCUAACUACGUG
rnacentral:rRNA from 1 species